rnacentral:lncRNA from 1 species
UGGAUUGGAGGCCCCUGGAGGAGAAGUAGAGAAAAAACCACCGAAUUGAGCUCUGUCAGAGGCGCUUUCGGCUUCCAAGGGGAAGUGCUGGGCAAUAAUUAAUGUUUUUAUUAAAUUUGGAGGGAUUUUUUUGCAGCCGUUCGCCUAGCGUGGCCUUCAGUCCCGUUAGGUGCAAAGCAAGUCUCGUUGAUCGCCAUUGCUAGUUUUGCACACGUUUGAGAAUCAGAGCUGCCCGGGGUUCACCGACCGCGCAGGGAAACAUCCAGAGUGUAAAUAAAUACAUCGCCUCUUGUUCGGAUUUUUGCUACUACCGAAAAUAUGUAAAUUGUGAACUCUCUUGGCUCUCUUUGGAUCCAGGUUGAUAGAAGUCCAGAUCCUAAGGAAACCUCCAGCUAAAUGCUCAAAAUAUAAAAUACUGAGCUAAUAUUUGCGAAGAGCUGCGGAAUGGAUGGAUUUUAUGACCAGCAAGUGCCUUACGUGGUCACCAAUAGUCAGCGUGGGAGAAAUUGUAACGAGAAACCAACAAAUGUCAGGAAAAGAAAAUUCAUUAACAGAG